CACGUAGGGCGCAAGCGUUGUCCGGAAUUAUUGGGCGUAAAGAGCUCGUAGGCGGUCUGUCGCGUCGAUCGUGAAAACUUGGGGCUUAACCCUGAGCUUGCGGUCGAUACGGGCAUGACUGGAGUUCGGCAGGGGAGACUGGAAUUCCUGGUGUAGCGGUGAAAUGCGCAGAUAUCAGGAGGAACACCGGUGGCGAAGGCGGAUCUCUGGGCCUUACCUGACGCUCAGGCGCGAAAGCUAGGGGAGCGAACAGG
rnacentral:rRNA from 1 species